rnacentral:rRNA from 1 species
UACGAAGGGGGCUAGCGUUGCUCGGAAUCACUGGGCGUAAAGGGUGCGUAGGCGGGUCUUUAAGUCAGAGGUGAAAUCCUGGAGCUCAACUCCAGAACUGCCUUUGAUGCUGAGGGUCUUGAGUAUGAUAGAGGUGAGUGGAACUGCGAGUGUAGAGGUGAAAUUCGUAGAUAUUCGCAAGAACACCAGUGGCGAAGGCGGCUCACUGGGUCAUUACUGACGCUGAGGCACGAAAGCGUGGGGAGCAAACAGG